UACAGAGGUCUCAAGCGUUGUUCGGAUUCAUUGGGCGUAAAGGGUGCGUAGGCGGCGCGGUAAGUCGGGUGUGAAAUCUCGGAGCUUAACUUCGAAACUGGCAUUCGAUACUGCCGUGCUUGAGGACUGGAGAGGAGACUGGAAUUUACGGUGUAGCGGUGAAAUGCGUAGAUAUCGUAAGGAAGACCAGUGGCGAAGGCGGGUCUCUGGACAGUUCCUGACGCUGGAGACGCGAAAGCGUGGGGAGCAAACAGG
rnacentral:rRNA from 1 species